rnacentral:rRNA from 1 species
AACGAACGCUGGCGGCAUGCCUAACACGUGCAAGUCGAACGAUGCCUUCGGGCAUAGUGGCGCACGGGUGCGUAACGCGUGGGAAUCUGCCCUUGGCUUCGGAAUAACAGUUAGAAAUGACUGCUAAUACCGGAUGAUGUCCCCCUGAGAGAUCUUGGGGACCAAAGAUUUAUCGGCCAGGGAUGAGCCCGCGUAGGAUUAGGUAGUUGGUGGGGUAAAGGCCUACCAAGCCGACGAUCCUUAGCUGGUCUGAGAGGAUGAUCAGCCACCCUGGGACUGAGACACGGCCCAGACUCCUACGGGAGGCAGCAGUGGGGAAUAUUGGACAAUGGGGGGAACCCUGAUCCAGCAAUGCCGCGUGAGUGAUGAAGGCCUUAGGGUUGUAAAGCUCUUUUACCAGGGAUGAUAAUGACAGUACCUGGAGAAUAAGCUCCGGCUAACUCCGUG